rnacentral:tRNA from 1 species
GGCUCAAUGGUCUAGUGGUAUGAUUCCUGCUUCGGGUGCAGGAGGCCCCGGGUUCGAAUCCCGGUUGAGCCC